rnacentral:rRNA from 1 species
CCCUUGGCCUUGACAUACUAAGAACUUUCCAGAGAUGGAUUGGUGCCUUCGGGAACUUAGAUACAGGUGCUGCAUGGCUGUCGUCAGCUCGUGUCGUGAGAUGUUGGGUUAAGUCCGCAACGAGCGCAACCCUUUUCCUAUUUGCCAGCGGGUCAUGCCGGGAACUUUAAGGAUACUGCCAGUGACAAACUGGAGGAAGGCGGGGACGACGUCAAGUCAUUAUGGCCCUUACGGCCAGGGCUACACACGUGCUACAAUGGUCGGUACAAAGGGUUGCUACCUCGCGAGAGGAUGCUAAUCUCAAAAAGCCGAUCGUAGUCCGGAUCGCAGUCUGCAACUCGACUGCGUGAAGUCGGAAUCGCUAGUAAUCGCGGAUCAGAAUGCCGCGGUGAAUACGUUCCCGGGCCUUGUACACACCGCCCGUCACACCAUGGGAGUUUGUUGCACCAGAAGUAGGUAGUCUAACCGCAAGGAGGACGCUUACCACGGUGUGGCCGAUGACUGGGGUGAAGUCGUAACAAGGUAAGCGUAGAUGA